rnacentral:rRNA from 1 species
GGGGGAUAUUGCGCAAUGGGGGCAACCCUGACGCAGCAACGCCGCGUGAAGGAUGAAGGUUUUCGGAUUGUAAACUUCUUUUAUUAAGGACGAAAAAUGACGGUACUUAAUGAAUAAGCUCCGGCUAACUACGUGCCAGCAGCCGCGGUAAUACGUAGGGAGCAAGCGUUGUCCGGAUUUACUGGGUGUAAAGGGUGCGUAGGCGGCUUUGCAAGUCAGAUGUGAAAUCUAUGGGCUCAACCCAUAAACUGCAUUUGAAACUGUAGAGCUUGAGUGAAGUAGAGGCAGGCGGAAUUCCCCGUGUAGCGGUGAAAUGCGUAGAGAUGGGGAGGAACACCAGUGGCGAAGGCGGCCUGCUGGGCUUUAACUGACGCUGAGGCACGAAAGCGUGGGUAGCAAACAGGAUUAGAUACCCUGGUAGUCCACGCUGUAAACGAUGAUUACUAGGUGUGGGGGGUCUGACCCCUUCCGUGCCGGAGUUAACACAAUAAGUAAUCCACCUGGGGAGUACGGCCGCAAGGUUGAAACUCAAGGGAAUUGACGGGGGCCCGCACAAGCAGUGGAGUAUGUGGUUUAAUUCGAAGCAACGCGAAGAACCUUACCAGGUCUUGACAUCCAACUAACGAAGUAGAGAUACAUUAGGUGCCCUUCGGGGAAAGUUGAGACAGGUGGUGCAUGGUUGUCGUCAGCUCGUGUCGUGAGAUGUUGGGUUAAGUCCCGCAACGAGCGCAACCCUUGCUAUUAGUUGCUACGCAAGAGCACUCUAAUAGGACUGCCGUUGACAAAACGGAGGAAGGUGGGGACGACGUCAAAUCAUCAUGCCCCUUAUGACCUGGGCUACACACGUACUACAAUGGAUGUUAACAGAGGGAAGCAAGACAGCGAUGUGGAGCAAACCCCUAAAAACAUUCUCAGUUCAGAUUGCAGGCUGCAACCCGCCUGCAUGAAGAUGGAAUUGCUAGUAAUCGCGGAUCAGCAUGCCGCGGUGAAUACGUUCCCG